UUCACUGCUAGCAUGGAUGCUCCUUUCCAACCGGACGGACACUUGGAAAAUCCUCCACCAUGAGCUAAGGUAAGCAAAAUCAUUCAGUGCCAGGUCUGUUGUUCAACAUGAUGUGGAUUGGAAGAAAGUGCCUAUCAAUUUCAGCCAACACAUUGACGAACAAAGCAACUUGUGAGUUGCAUACUUUUUCUGCAAUGAAGCAACCAUUUUCAGUCCACCCAACUUCCCUCCCCGUCCCUCUCACCAUAACAUCUAAAGUUAACUAAACCAUCCUUGAGCUCCAGCAGCCUAUAACUAAUUCCUAACUAAUACCUCAUCCAUAAAUGUUCCAACUUCUAAUUGAACAGAUUCGUUUAUUUUUUUAAAGUAAUCCUACCUAAACUAAUGGAUUUAGCUAACUGAUGGAUUUAGCUAAACCCUACUAGUUGCCGUGGACUGAGAAUGGUUGCAUCAUGCGGACUACAGGUUUGUCACAUGCUUCAAAUGUCUAGCUAGAUUCCUUGCAAAACUGCAUGUUUUGAUUAGAUAUGCGGGGGUUUUCUGUGCGUGUCUUUCUCCUUUACAUGUACCGGUCUUCAACAAUACAACACGCCGAGCUUCAAUGUGCCUCAUCACCCAGCAGCAACUACUAGAUUGUCACAAGGGAUCUAGCCAGCGGUGCAGAAUGUUUACAUUGCUAUUCAACUGAACACGGCUUUUAUUGCACUCGGCAUCGGCGGGUAUAAUUAAUACGUUGAUCGCCUGAACUCGCCACCUAUUCACCAUACUCGGCCAUGUGCGGGCUCAAUUUGUAUUUGACACUAUUUGCAUCUCCCCUCAUUGACCCGUACUAGUAUGCCCUAUAUCCAGUGAUGGGGGCCAGUGAAUUACUAUGCUGGCUGUUUAUGUUCAUCUCUAUUGAUCAAUCCCAUCUCUCCUCUAUUCCUCUCUCUCUCCUGUGAUGGACUGUCCUGUCCUCUCCCCUCUCCUUCUUUUCAUUCCUUCCUACUUCUUUCCUCCAGACUUCUUAAGUCUCUUCCUUUUCUUGUCCCAUGUUAUUAUUGUGACAAUGUACCUUCUCUAUUCCUCCAUUCCUCCAUCCGCAUCUUGAUCUCACUUUACAAAUACUUAUAGUGCGUCUUUCAGCUCCUCCCCCUUUCCCCCUUCCUCCAGACUUCCCCCUUCCUCCAGGCUUUUUCCCUCCCUCCAGUCUUUCCCCCUUCCUCCAGUCUUUCCCCCUUCCUCCAGUCUUUCCCCCUUCCUCCAGACUUCCCCCCUUCGUCCAGAUUUUCCACGUUCCCCCAUUCCUCCAGACGGUCCCCCUUCCUCCUGACUUUACUCUGAUCUGCUCCAGCCUUCUCAUCCAGUUUUUUCUACCAUGUUAAAGCUAUUCAUUAUGAAAAACCAAAAAUUACCUGUCGCAGGCUGGCAACGGUUAAUGAUGAUUAUGAUGGUGGAUUGUUGGUUGUAUUGAUAACUCGUACUUUUGCCCUUCCCCUUAUACAUAGAAACGAUGUUACAUGCUGUAUCAUCGAACUACACGUACUGAAAA